rnacentral:rRNA from 1 species
CCUACGGGAGGCAGCAGUGGGGAAUAUUGCGCAAUGGGCGAAAGCCUGACGCAGCGACGCCGCGUGGGGGAUGAAGGUUUUCGGAUUGUAAACUCCUGUCACUGCAGAACAAGGAUGCGUUUAUGAAUAGUAGGCGCAUUUGAUGGUAUGCGGAGAGGAAGGGACGGCUAACUCUGUGCCAGCAGCCGCGGUAAU